GGGGGCGACAGGUUUCGACGACAGGCUUGGAGGGUCCAGAGGAGCGAGCCGAGGUUUCCGUCACCUCGUAAAACAGCGGAACCUUAAAGUAACUGCCAACGAUAACUACGCUCUGGCUGCUUAAGUAAGCGGCCCGUUGCCGACGCCUUCACCGUCCGGGUGUCGUCCGACGUCACAUAGAACGGUUGCUCCGGUCGGGUCGUUCCCGACGAUCGGCUAAGCCAAGGGAACUGGGGGUGAGGGAUCCUGUCCCUGGGAGCCCGAUCCCCGAGAUCAAACCAGGGACUACGCUCGUAGCGCCGCUGUGGCCGGCCCCUGCCGGACGGGAGUUCGAUUCUCCCCGCCUCCACCA
rnacentral:tmRNA from 1 species